CCCAGACUCCUACGGGAGGCAGCAGUGGGGAAUAUUGCACAAUGGGGGGAACCCUGAUGCAGCAAUGCCGCGUGAAGGAUGAAGGUUUUCGGAUUGUAAACUUCUUUUGUACGGGACGAAGAAAGUGACGGUACCGUAAGAAUAAGCCACGGCUAACUACGUGCCAGCAGCCGCGGUAAUACGUAGGAGGCAAGCGUUAUCCGGAAUGACUGGGCGUAAAGGGUGCGUAGGUGGUUUGGCAAGUUAGUAGCGUAAUUCCGGGGCUCAACUUCGGAACUACUACUAAAACUGCUGGGCUUGAGUGCAGGAGGGGCAUAUGGAAUUCCUAGUGUAGCGGUGGAAUGCGUAGAUAUUAGGAGGAACACCAGUGGCGAAGGCGAUAUGCUGGACUGUAACUGACACUGAGGCACGAAAGCGUGGGGAGCAAACAGGAUUAGAUACCCGAGUA
rnacentral:rRNA from 1 species